rnacentral:rRNA from 1 species
ACUAGCUUCAAGAUAAGUAUUCUAUGAGGAAGCUUCGAGAACAGGAGCUGGAUAGGUUGGGGGUGUACGCGCAGUAAUGUGUUUAGCUGACCAAUACUAAUCGAACGAAAUUUUAAUC